rnacentral:rRNA from 1 species
CAAAACUUUCAACAACGGAUCUGUUGGAUCUGGCAUCGAUGAAGAACGGAGCGAAACGAGAUAAGUAAUGUGAAUUGCAGAAUUCAGUGAAUCAUCGAAUCUUUGAACGCACAUUCCGCCGCCAGCAUUCUGGCGGGCAUGCCUGUUCGAGC